GAAGGGUGUUAUUUUUUUCAGAUGUUCAGCCCACAAGAGCUUACAGGUGAAGGAAUGGGACAAGACCCAUCUUUAUGCAAAGCCAGCGUUACAGUAAUGUUCCAGCAUCUCAUAAUCUAUCCUGAGGAAUUCAGCUGCCUCCCAGGGUGAAUACAGGUAUUUCUGAUGACAGUCUGCCUCUAUCUUACAGAGCAGCUUGUUGCUAUAUACCAUUGAAAAGCCUUCAGAGCUAAGAGGUACUACUAACCAAUAACCUGCUUGGCUCAAAGGGCCAGCACCUUCUCUCUAAAGCCCAAGAGGAGUUUGAGGAAAACUAGGUGUCUCUGUUCACUCCAGGCUGAAGUUACAGGUUUGAGGAAAGGUGUAUAAAAAAUGGAAUCUGUCUUGGAGGACAUCAGAAGUUGAAUUUUCCAAGUCCUUGGACAACCUAGCUGUUGAAAAGCUUUCUGGAUUUGGGGGGUCUUUCAGAUGUACCUUAAAGUGUUAGCAGACACAGAUUAAGACACUGGGAGCCAAUGAAACAUAGCAGUUGAGGGUUUGCUAUGUAUCACAUUUCUGUAUUUUAUCACCUCCUUCCUGCAACAUUAUUUCUGUGGAAUCUACCUGCCCUUUUGUUUUUUAGAUACAAGGGCUUGGUUUUGUUACCAAGGCUGGUUUCAAGGCCCUAGCUUUAAGAGAUCCUCCCACCACAGAUUUCCAAAGUGCUGGGAUUGCAGGUAUGAUUAGUGGCACCCAGACUUUGCUGCCUUUCUUACAUGAUCAAGGCCCGGAACCCAAACUCAGGCACUGCAUAGAUGACCAGUUUGGUAAACUACUGACCUAGCUUGUUGCCAAUUGUGAUUGAGCUUCCCAUAACUCCACUUCGUUUCUGUUUCUCUGUAUACAGACACCUUCUAUUCCCAUCAUGAGCCUUUAGGUCUCCAUUUGCAUAUUGCAAAUACUAUGUUCCGUGUAGGUAGCUCAUUCAGUGCCUUGCUCUUCACUUCAAAAAAGGUUCCCUUGAGGACUGGCUGUCAAUUUGUGUUGCUGUGUUGGUUAAUGAAAAUAAUAAAAUGAUUGAUUACAUA
rnacentral:lncRNA from 1 species